rfam:Desulfacinum infernum DSM 9756 genome assembly, contig: EJ47DRAFT_scaffold00058.58
GGAGAGAUGGCCGAGUCGGCUGAAGGCGCUCGCCUGCUAAGCGAGUGUACUCCGAAAGGGGUACCGAGGGUUCGAAUCCCUCUCUCUCCG